UUAAGAUAAGAUUAUGCUAAUCUUGUUCUAAGUAGUUAUCUAACGCCGCAAACGCUUAUUAGCAAAUUUUUAUUUUUUUUAAUAAAGAAUUGUUUCUCAUUCAUCCAUUGAAGUGGGUUAAGUGAGUAAGUGUUACAUUGAAGCGCAUUUCGAAUUCCGACCAUUCUCUUAUCUCCUCAUUGAAGCGUAUCCGAGGGUUUAUGGCAAUGGAAAUUGACAAGACUUCAUCUCUGAAGUAAUCACCAUUUUUAAGAAGCAAAGAAAAGAUCGAGGCCAAAUGGGGGAUCAAGGACAUUCCUGUAAUGCCUAUAUUCCAAUGUAAUUCUCCAGAUUCUUUCAGCACAUUAAUGUCAAAUGGCAUGGACCACAAAACUCAGAAGAUGUUACCCUCAGUUUUGAACAAUAAGGAUGAAGCUUUACUACCAUCCCAAGAGUCUGAUGCUGAUUAUGUCAUAGAAGUUUCAGGUGCGAUCAACAGUAAUGCAGCAUUUUAUAGAAUCAGCCUUGCUGCUCCACCAACUUCAGUUGCUGUUGACAGAAUUCCAUCAGAUUAUGUUAGACAAGGCUUCAUUUUAGCUUUGACUCUAAAUGAUGGAAGUAAUGGGUUUGGCGAGGUGACUGGCUAUAUGAUUGUAUUCGAUUUAUAUAUGAUGAACCAUUGCAUUCCAAGUGAUAGAAUUGAAAGUUGUGUUCUUCUGAAUAUGCAAGCUACUGAAAAUUUACAAGAUGUGGAAGAACAAAUGUGUUUCCUUCUCCAUGCCCUAAAAGGAGCUACUAAUUGCUAUCAGCUUCCCCUGUUGAGAGAGUCCUUUUCUGUGGAUAUGGAAAGUUACUGCAGUUCCGGGUUGAAACAGUAACCAUAAGAAUGUUUGGGAAGUAAAUGUUACUAUCAGGGGUCCACUUGAAUUUGCAAGUACUGUCUUUGCUCUUGUUGAAGAAGGAUUUUGUGCUAUUAAAUUAAAGGUAGGUCGCAGAGAUGAUAUAAUGGAAGAUGCUGCAGCUUUUAAUGAAAUAAGAAUAAAUAUUGGUGCUGGGGUGAACUUCGUGUUGAUGCUAAGCCGUAAAUGGACCUAUGAAAAUGCUAUCAUGUUAAGGAUUGUGGCUUACAAUAUAUUGAGCCAAUUGAGGUAUGCCUAAUAGAUUCUUAAUUCUGUUAUCUGUUUCAUGUGAUAAAAAAUAUUCUUGCUUGUUUGUGGGUAAAAGAUUAUCUUGUUAUGUCCCUUUUUCUAUAUCGGACGGUUCUUUAUGACGAUUCAUGUUAGAUGACCCCAAAUCAUGUUGUUGUUUGUUUGUUUGUGGGUAAAAGAUACACACUUUUAAGCACUGAGUUUGCAGUGUUUCCUCUAUAAAUCUCAUACGCUUCUAUUUUAUUGCAAUCUUUUUAUAAAAUGCUGAAAGGUGGAAGAGAUAUGGUUUUUCUGUUGCUUGAUUGAUCUGUAUUUUAUUGCAACCUUCUCUGAAAGUUCGACUUGACUGAUUUUUCCAAAUUUCAAUACACAUCCUUGAUCAUUAAUGUCUUUAACUACUUAGUGGAAAUGAUUAAAAGUUAAAAAAAUUACAUUGACAUUACUCCUAACUAGAUCCUACGUACUAGGUUUUUUUUUUUUUUUUUUUUUUUUUUUAUACGAAUCGUACAAUACGGUCAAACUUGUUGUUUUAUUUUGACCACAUUGAAAGUAAGUGGAGUUAAACAAUUAAGAACAGGGGAAGUUUAAAUUUUAAGAUUGAAGAUCAAGGAACUUAUUGCAACUUAACUUGAUUGUGAUUUUUGGUUGGAUGAUAUGAACACAGAUCUUUACAUUGUAGAGAAGUAAAACACUUUGGUCAAGUUAAACCUACCCUGGGUUGGAAUUUAUUGUUGUUUUAACAUUAUAUUUUCACUUAUUUAGGAACCUGUACAGUGUGAAGAAGGAAUUGUGAGGUUCUGUGAAGAUACUGGCUUGCCAGUUGCAUUUGAUGAAACUAUAGACAACAUUCAAGGAAUUUGGCCAGAUUCACGCAUCCAGGAGCGGUGGCUCUUGUAUAUUCAGCCUAAUUGCACUAAUGUUUUGUUUUUCAUUACGCUACAAACUUGCAAGUGCUUCAGUGGUUUUUUCCUCUCUAUCACUGAAUUGGUUCACAAUAAGCUAUCACCAUAUUUUCAUCAUCUUUCAUUAUAUUACCUAGCUUCUUAUAGACUAAUUUUCACCUCAACAAUCUUUUGCUAGAUUUAGGCACAUAAAUUUUGAAAUCAACAAAGAUUAGAUGCAGUUACCUAAGAUGAUCAUGUUUGUGGUAAACUUGUGGUGGUUCUUGAUGACUGAUACAGGAUUCUUAACUUGCCGCUGUAUCUUGGCCCCGAAAUUUCAGCCUUUCCUACUUGUAGAGUUGUAGCUACUUUUUUCUUUCUCCUUGUCCAAAAUAACAAAGCUCAAAAGUUUAAUGAUUUUUUGCUAUUAGCAUGUAAGAGAUGUUACUGAAUACACUGAUAAGAAUUUGCUUUGGUAACACUUCUCUGCUAAGAUUGCCGUUUUUUCUUCUGUUAGGUGAUUAAGCCAAGUGUUGUUGGCGGGUUUGAAAAUGCAGCAGUAAUUGCAUGAUGGGCUCAUAUUAAGGGAAAAGUGGCUGUUGUGAGUGCAACCUUUGAAAUUAGUCUCGUAUUGUCUUCCUAUGUUCAGUUUGCAUGUUAUCUUGGGAUGAGAGGUGCAGAAAUAUCCCAAGCAAUAGAUCUUAAAACCGACAAAAUGUGUAGCUCAUGAUUUUGGAACAUACAAAUGGCUGAAAGAAGAUUUAACGCUUGAUCCACUUGUUAUAGGAGCAUCAAUUGAGGAUGCUGAUCGUGCUUAUCAGCUUGGCAUGCAAAUAGAGGAUUGUUCUUAAGUGUUCAAGAUGCAAGAGAUGGGAGAAAGUAGAGAUGUGUGUACUGGUAACCUUCUUAACUUAAUUUAUUAGUCGGAAGCAUAAAGAAUGAUAGAAUAAAAUGUUGGCAACUAAAGUCUAGAUAUGUACUUGGUGUAUUUUCUUAAGGUUCUGAUUUUCUGAUCUUCAAAAUGUAGAACUAGUACAUAGUAAUCGCAGAUUAUGCUACCAUCAUUUUCCUCUUAGAACAACUAAUCAUUGUUUUUCAGAAUUUCAAAUCCAGACUUAUCAUAGAACCAUUUUCUCUGGCAUUAUUUAGUGAGCAUUCUCAGACCCUGCCUGAGGCGAAAGUGGCAAGGAACCAGAGAGUUUCACCAUUGCAGAGUUUUUAUUGGUAAAAAUGGCGGCAUUUGACUGCAGACCUCCAGCCUUCUCCUCUCUCUCAAAUCUUCUUUCAGCGCCUUUCAUUUGCAGUUUUUUUUUUUUUUUUUGGCUUCUGUUUAUAAAAAUUUGCCAUUUUGUUUAGCUUUUAGAGGUUUCUUUCUAUCCACGGACCACGGCUACAAUAUAAAUUUUUUUUUUUUUGUUUUUGUAUGGGUAUUAAUUGUAAUUUUGUUUGCUUUUGUAUGGGUAUUGAUAUUUCUUCAUUUGCAUAUAUGAUCCGAAAAACAAAUGCUUGUAUUGGACUUACUUUCUCGUGCUCGUGUCAAGUGGCCAAGUGCUAAGUCUAUGCACCACUUAGCCCACUAUAAUCAACUCACAUCCUUUUUAUUUUUAUCCAUAUGAGAUAAAUCACAUACAUAACAUUAAAGUUGGAAAUAAUUCCAACAUAAACAAGUUACCUUAAACUUAUUUUACGAUCAAUUAUACAUAAUUUAAGUCUUUGAAGAGAACAUAUCAAAUUAUCGCUACAUCAUACAAGUAAUUUUUAAUCUGUACAUAAAUAAAAAUAAAUAAACAAUGCUUUUCAAAAAUCAUAAAGUUCGAGGUUGAGACAAUUUAGGACCUUCCAUUCUUUGCAAUGGUAGCUUAAUUGUUUUUUUUUCUCCUAAAUGACAUAUACCAUAGUUUUCAUCAUUUCAUGCAUGCAAUGUGACAGAUUUGGCAAGUGGGGCGGCAACAGUGAAUCAAAGAUAACUUGCUCCAUAAAAUCUCCUCAUUGCUAAAUUUGUAAUCUUCUUUACGUCUUAACAAAGUUCUCUACCAUUACUUAAACCCCUUCAUUCUUCUAUUCAUAAUCAUCCCACAAUUUAUAAAAACCAAUUUUAUCAGCAAAUUAAACCCAAUUAAAUAAAUAAAUUACAUAAUUUUGCUAAAAAAAAUAAAAAUGGGGCACAAGCAUGGUCAUGAUUGGGGCCCUGUGUUUAUUGCAACAAUCUUGUUUGUUCUUCUUUCACCAGGGUUGCUGUUUCAAGUGCCAGGUGGCAAAAGGUGCAUUGAGUUUGGGAGCUUCCGUACUGGUGGGGCAGCUAUUUUGAUCCAUGCUCUUCUAUACUUUGGCCUUAUUUGUAUCUUCUUGAUUGCCCUUGGAAUUCACAUGUAUUGGGGUUAAUUGAUCAAGAUCAAUUACAUUGCAUUCAACCCAUAUUGUUCCUAUCUUUAUUUUAUUUUCUUUGUUUUGGGAGGUCGGUCGAGUUUUAUUGCAGUAUUAAUUUCUAUUUUAAAUUGAAAAAACCGCUCUUUUUACGUAUUAUUAUAGUAUGUUGGAAAAAUAUACGAAAUUUUAAGAGGAUGUAAUAAAGUGGUGGUUCAGAGUCA